GGGGAGAUGCUCAAGCCUGCCAGUCAUCCUCAUGGCUUUGUGGUGGACUCUCUUCCAGCAGGUGAUGAUUUACUCUUUGAACCUGUCUGUUACAAUUUCCUUAAUGAAGUCUGUGCUGUAGAAGUGCUAUUGUAUUAGAGGCUUAUAAACAAGUUAAUCAUUUGAGGCUGCCAAUAAAAAAAAUAGUUAUAUUUCC